GGGCAGCGAUCGGAGUGCGGCGGGGCGGGGAAGCGGCCCGGGGCCGCGGUCGGGGACUCGGGCCUGCGGCCUCACCUCGCCGUGCAGGAGGGUUGUUUUCCCCGGGUCCCAGUUCGGGACCGGCAGAGCGGCCGUCUCUUCGACUUGACGGCAAGGACGGAUUCCCAGAUUUGUAGCUUGUAGAACAAGCGGAGGCAACGACGGAGCCUUCAUUUGAGAAAGAGGCACAAUAGGAGAAGAUAUCGAAAAAAGGAUCAACUCCCCCUCCCCCUCCCGACUCAUUCAACUUCUGCCUGUUACCUGUGAUCAUCUCAGCCUCCAUGAGAGCAGGAAAUGGCUGUGGAGCACUUAUCUCAGGAGCCUGAGCUUUGCAGAGGUGGCCAUGUAUUGCAGCAGGGAAGAGGGAGCACUGCUGGAUGCUGCGCAGCAAACACUCUACCAGGAUGUGACGGUGGAGACAUAUGGGUCUGUGGCCUCACUGGCCCCCAAACCCAUGGUGAUCUCUGUGCUUGAAGGAGAGGAAGGCCCCUCGAUCCCAGAUGUGCACAGCCUGAAGGACACGGCAGGAGACCUCAGCCCAGGAUAUGGGAUCACAAAUACGAAGGAGAGGCUGCAGGAGAUGGGUGUGGCUGGAAGAAAGUGGAAUGGUGCCUCAGUGGGGAGAAUCAGAAGGGGUGCCCAAAGGGGUCGGGAGCAAGGGAAGCACUUCAGGAAGCCACAGGGAAACCAUCCAGAAGAGAGAGGGGAACCCCUUGGUCUGCAGCACAGGCCAAAAGCCUCUUGAAGACCCUGAGGAGCAAGGAAGCGUGCCAGAAGAGAAGGCAGAACCCAAGGGGCACCGGGGACUUCCAACACCUUUCCUUUCAGCAGGCUUCUCCACUGGAAUCUGCAGCUGAAUGUGCCAGCUCCUUUGCACAGACUCCCACGUGCUUUCCUCAGGGAAGUCCCUGCACACAGGCAUGGAAGGAGGCCCAGAACAUGAGAACCCUCCCUGCCCAGGACUGUUCCUGCGAUGUCAUCUGCAGUAGUGGAGGUCUCACCUAGCUGUGCUGAGAGCUGGGAGAGGGGAGAGGCAGAGGGAGGCCCAGGUGACAUGGCGGGGAGGUGGCUGGGAGGCCAUUCCUCCUCCAGGACCGGGACUGCCCGGGGGCAAGCAGCACACAGUGGGAUGUCAUGGAAUGUGGCACGACUCCUGUGACACAGAGGACAGCUCAGGCAGGGAGGCAGCUGCAUAGCCAGCAGGGCUGGGCUGCUGCUUGUGAGGUCACCUCACUGCAACACUGGGCUUGGCCACGAGCAGGCGGGCAGUGAGAGAGCAUUGGGAAGAGCAGCUGAGAAAGCUGCAUGCAGGGGCCUGGGCCCUGGUGAGGCCCUGCCUCAGUGACACUGCCGGGAUGUGGGGGAGUAGGGGAUGAGGCAUGGACACUGCCCAGGGUGGUAGUGGGGUGAGAAGGGAGCAGAGGGGCACUGCCCCGUGGGGGGAGAGAGUGGUGUGAGAAGGGAGCAGAGAUAAAGCAGUGCUGUUAGGAGCAGCAGUAUCUCACAUACUGUUGAAGGGUACACAGAGGAGAAAUAGCCAGCCUAGGGGUGACACCUUCUUGGCUGAUCUCUCAUUUUAUGGGGCUCCAGUCACUGUCCACCCUGGGCAUUCACAGUCCGUGGAGAACUUGUAGGCUCUCCACACAGCUCCACGUUCUUUUCCUGGGGAAUGUCCCUGCCACACGUGGGACAGCCAUGGGGGUAUAGCUGACUGACCAAUCACCAUCUCCACUGUCAUCAGGUGCCACUCGGUCAUAAACCCUAAUCUCAGUCUGUCACAGGGAGCAGUUGAAACAUUGUGCAAGUGCUCUGGUUGUACAGAGCUGCAAAUCCAAUCUCACCUACUGUCAGUGCAUCCAUUCAGCUACAAAAUCCCCUGAAUUCUUCUCCCUUUGGUCUUGCCUUCUGUUGAACAGAAGAGCACUAACAGGAGAGCUGUGUCCCAGCUGGA